rnacentral:rRNA from 1 species
AGAGGAAGUAAAAGUCGUAACAAGGUUUCCGUAGGUGAACCUGCGGAAGGAUCAUUAUCGAGUUUUGAAACGGGUUGUAGCUGUCCUUCGUAAGGAGGUACGUGCACGCCUUGCUCAUCCGCUCUCAAACCCCUGUGCACUUUUUGUAGGCUUGGUGGGAUAGGCUGACUUCGGUCGGCUUUGAAUGCCUCGCCUAUGUAUUAAAACAAACGCUUCAGUUUAGAAUGUAACCUUGCAUAAUAAGCAAAUAAAUACAACUUUCAGCAACGGAUCUCUUGGCUCUCGCAUCGAUGAAGAACGCAGCGAAAUGCGAUAAGUAAUGUGAAUUGCAGAAUUCAGUGAAUCAUCGAAUCUUUGAACGCACCUUGCGCUCCUUGGUAUUCCGAGGAGCAUGCCUGUUUGAGUGUCAUGGUAUCAUCAACCUUCAACACUUUUGUGUCUGUAGGCUUGGACUUGGAGGUCGUGUCGGCGUUCGCGUCGGCUCCUCUGAAAUGCAUUAGCGUGAAUCUUACGAAUCGCCCUCGGUGUGAUAAUUUCUACGCCGUAGACGUGCAGUAUAUAGUGUUCGUGCUUACAACCGUCUGCAAAGACAACAUCAUUGACAAUCUGACCUCAAAUCAGGUAGGACUACCCGCUGAACUUAAGCAUAUCAA